GUCACAGAAAACUUUGAAAGCUCAACUCCAAUUUAUGUACGUAUUUUUGUUGCAAACAAGCGUGAUAGCUUUAUCAAGAAAAGACUUUUGAAAAUAGAACUCUCUCUACUAUUAUCCAUUAGGAUAGAAUUUUUCUGGGGAAAAGGCAUACAUACAUGAUUUUAAGAAGAAAAGAGAAUGAUAAAAUUUUUAACAGUGAGGAAGAAUUUGUUCAUUAGAAAAUGGUUAAAAAUAUCAAAUCAUUGUAGCAUUUAUAUUCCAUCUGAUAUAUUUAGAUACAUUUUUUAAAGUGAUGUAAGUCUUUAAAAUGCUAAUAUUUACAAUAUGCCAAAAAUUACUUGGGCUAUACUAUUUUAGCAAGAUGAAAAUUUUAGAUGUUUAAUAAUGUUAGAGAUUCUUUGUUUUCCCACAAAUCUUUUAUGCACUAUGCAAGCAACAAAGUUUGAAGGUCUCUUUCCUAGAGAAACACAAACAUAUAUACCAGGCUACCUGUGCAAGAAUAUUCAUAGCACCUGUCCAUCAAGAGCAGAGUAGGUAAAUCAAUUACGCACACGAUGGAUUGCUAUGGAUUACUAUAAGCACUGGAUUACUACGUGCAAUGAAAUGAAUAAACUAUAGCUUCACACAAAACAUAACUGAAUCUCCUAAACGUAAUGCUGAGCUGAAGCAGACACAAAAGACACAAAAAAACUCCUAUGGUAAGAUCCACUUAUGUUCAUAACCAAGCAAAACUAACUUAUAUCGCUUAGGGAUGUAUGACAAAUUACAUCAUUACUCGCGAGAAUUCUCUCCCUGUCCCCAUAAGAGGAUUACGCAGUGCCAUGAGAUUCACUAGCCCCUGUUGAAUUUAGACUCUUGGCUCUGCCACGUGACACACUUGAGCCAAUGAAGAGUAGACCCUAUGCUUGCCAUGUUCAAUCAGAGACUCCAAGAGGCAUCAAGUUUCUGCCUCAAAAGAACUGUCCUUUCAACUUGGAUUCUGGAAUGAACACAUGGGGAGAACACCCUAAGCCAAUCCUAAGGCCUCAUCGAGGCAAAAAAUACAUGUUUGUUUUUGUAAGCCGCUGAGAUGUUG
rnacentral:lncRNA from 1 species